rnacentral:rRNA from 1 species
AUUGAACGCUGGCGGCAGGCCUAACACAUGCAAGUCGAACGAGUGGCGGACGGGUGAGUAAUGUCUGGGAAACUGCCUGAUGGAGGGGGAUAACUACGGGAAACGGUAGCUAAUACCGCAUACCAUCGGAUGUGCCCAGAUGGGAUUAGGUAGUAGGUGGGGUAAAGGCUCACCUAGCCGACGAUCCCUAGCUGGUCUGAGAGGAUGACCGGCCACACUGGAACUGAGACACGGCCCAGACUCCUACGGGAGGCAGCAGUGGGGAAUAUUGCACAAUGGGCGCAAGCCUGACGCAGCCAUGCCGCGUGUAUGAAGAAGGCCUUCGGGUUGUAAAGUACUUUCGGUGGCGAGGCGUUACCCGCAGAAGAAGCACCGGCUAACUCCGUGCCAGCAGCCGCGGUAAUAC